UUUUUUCCAGGAACUAGAGACACAGAGAAAACAAAGAAUAUGAAGUGUGGUUGAAGUUUCAGUGUAAUAGACUACUGGGGUGUGACAGUGACUAAGAGACUGGACACCUGGGAGUGAGGAAUGAAAGACAAGGAAGCGCAUCUUUACCCUUGUAAGACCCACCACUGCCCUGGAGACAUGCGUAGAGCAACAAAUGAUACCAUAAGAUACUGCCCCAGGAAAAGAAUCUAUAGAAUACUUUUGAGGAAAGGAUACUUUCAGACCCCCUCUCAAAGGCCACAUGCAAAAGAAAACUCCAGGGGACCUUACUGGCUGAAUCUACCCUGCCACACUCUGUGCCUGGGACACUCUCUGUUAGUGCUGCUUUGCAGUCUGUGAAGACGGGUAUUAUGGUCAACUGAGCACUGGCCACAGGUACAGUCUCGUGAGCAAUGCUGAACUGGUGAUGACUUCCACCCAGACCGUUUGCAGCCACUUCCCUUCCCAGUUUACCCAGACACCUCCAGGCUCAAGCUUCAGUGGCAUUUACAGUCUUACUUGAUUUUCACUGCUUUAUAUUGGUCACUAAUUGUUUCAUAUAGACCCAUGUCGUCUCCUUAAUCAG
rnacentral:lncRNA from 1 species